CCUACGGGAGGCAGCAGUGAGGAAUAUUGGUCAAUGGGCGAGAGCCUGAACCAGCCAAGUCGCGUGAAGGAUGAAGGAUCUAUGGUUUGUAAACUUCUUUUAUAUGGGAAUAAAGUGAGGAACGUGUUCCUUUUUGUAUGUACCUUAUGAAUAAGGAUCGGCUAACUCCGUGCCAGCAGCCGCGGUAAUACGGAGGAUCCGAGCGUUAUCCGGAUUUAUUGGGUUUAAAGGGAGCGUAGGCGGGUUGUUAAGUCAGUUGUGAAAGUUUGCGGCUCAACCGUAAAAUUGCAGUUGAUACUGGCAGCCUUGAGUACAGUAGAGGUAGGCGGAAUUCGUGGUGUAGCGGUGAAAUGCUUAGAUAUCACGAAGAACUCCGAUUGCGAAGGCAGCCUGCUGAACUGUAACUGACGCUGAUGCUCGAAAGUGUGGGUAUCAAACAGGAUUAGAUACCCUUGUAGUC
rnacentral:rRNA from 1 species